GGCACACAGAGUUUAGCUUCAUGAUAAUCCUCCCUGAGAGGAUUGAAUCUGGUGGGGGGUUAAGGACUAAAAUAAUGACCUGGUCAGGCCACAGACAGGUGGGAGUGGGAGUGGAUGAGCUGAUUUGAAAGGUGGAGGAAGUGAGUGAUGAGAGAGGGGUGACGUGAAUCCUGAGUGAGCUGAGUGGUGUGGAAUGGCUGACCUGAGAUCCGGAGGUUCACUCUGGUUUGAUUACCUGCAAUCAGCUCCAGGUGUGUGGAACUGUAGGAGGAGGCAGCCCUGCCCAGGGGUGGAUACCA